rnacentral:rRNA from 1 species
UAGUGAGUUUGAUCCUGGCUCAGGAUGAACGCUAGCGGCAGGCCUAAUACAUGCAAGUCGAACGGCCCAGCAAUGGGCAGUGGCGCACGGGUGCGUAACGCGUAUGCAACCUACCUUCCACUGGGGGAUAGCCCGGAGAAAUCCGGAUUAAUACCGCAUAACACAGCUUGAGGGCAUCUGAGGGCUGUUAAAGAUUUAUCGGUGGGAGAUGGGCAUGCGUGCCAUUAGCUUGUUGGCGGGGUAACGGCCCACCAAGGCGACGAUGGUCUAGGGGUUCUGAGACGGACCGGU